AUGUUUGACAGUACUAUUUGACACCGUUUUACGCCCCGCCGCAACACGAGGUGUGCUUUGGGGGUUUUCAAAGAAAAAAUUGUUAUGCAUAUUGUUGUCGUAACGUUGGCUUUGAGGGGUUUCAAAAAAAAUGUUUUUUUUUUACUUUUCACCCAAAAGUAUUUCAUAAAUUACUUUUAACCCAAAACUAUUUGUUUUUUUACUUUUAACCCAAAACUUUUUAUCUUUUGCAAUCUAUCAUCAUAACUUUUUUACUUUCAACUUUGGUCAUUUAUAGUUUCCGUUUUUCACAAAUUUUUCGCUCUAUGCUUGGUUCUAAAUUUUGUGACUUAACACAUCACAGCUGUGUCUUUGGCUUAACAUUUUUACGUUUCGUUCUAAAUUUUGCGAGUUAACACGACGCAACGUGCGUGUGUGGGUGAACGUUUUUACAUCCUCUAUUUUUACCCCGUUUGACAGGUUUAACAUAACGUGUGAGUCGUAGAUCGACUUAGUUAUAAAUAAAGAAUCCCCGCCGCAUUGCGGUGGGUCGUAAUCCUAGUUAGUAUUUAAAUACCAAUGAAAUAAUGAUUUGAUUGUAUUAUAAUUGAAAAGUGGAAACACUUAAUUUCAUUCAGGAGAUAAAAGUGACAUUUUGUGGUUUCAAUCAGGAGGUAAAAGUGUCAUUUUGUGGAACGGUGUGCAAUUAAAAAAAUCAUGAAUGAAAGAUGGUUCGAAACCGGGACCUAUGGCUUGGGAAUAAAUGCACUUAAUCACCUAAACACAUCGAUAUUUCAAUUUUAAAUUGAAGUUAUCAAACAAUUUAUUAUAUCGAAAAAGAAGGUGGUGGCUGUGAUGUAACAGCCUCCGACCUUUCUUUUUAAGUGUAUAUAUGUAUAAUAUAAUACUAGCGGUAAAACUCGUGUGCAAACACGGGUCGUUUUUUAGAAAACCAUACAUAACACAUAUUGACAGAGAAUAAAAAAAUAAUUACUGCAGACUUACAAAAUUGAUAUAAAUUAAUAAUCAAUAGGUUUAUUCAAUGCUCCUUAUAAAAUAUUAUUUAGCUAGGUUAUUACCCGAGAUUGUUUCCCGGGCUCGGAAAACUUAUUAUAUUAAUUACUAUUUGUUAUUAAUAUGACCACAUUACAUCAUGCAUCUCAUUCGAUUCAACAACAAUGUCUUCAAAUCACCGGAUUAGAUCAUGAACCCAUAUUAGAGGUCAACCAAAAGCACAACAGGACCACAUAAAUAACAUCAUUUCCACUUUUACUUCAAUGAACUUAAAUGAUAGGGUGAUUUGGGAUUUUGUAAAAAUGUUUGUUUUUGUACUACUUUACAAAAUUACAUAGAAUUCAAGAAAACGAAACAACGAAUUAAACAGAUGUUGAGUUAUUCAAAGUUCUGUUGAAUACUAAAUGAGACGUUGACCAAAAUUCAAACAGAUGUUGACCAAAAGUCAAUCAGAUGUUGACCAAUAGUCAAACAGAUGUUGACCUCAAACUGAUGUUUAAUUUAUAGCCAAACAUCUGUUUAUGGCCAAACAUCUGUUUAAGCUAAAACAUCUGUUUAAGUCCAAAUAUCUGAUAUAGAAGGCUAAACAUUUGUUUAAGGCAAAACAUGUGUUUAAGCUGAAACAUCUGUUUAUGGCCAAAAAUCUUUUUAAGAUCAAACAACUGUUUAAGUCCAAACCUCUGAUAUAAAAGCCAAAUAUCUGUUUAAGGCCAAACAUCUGUUUAAGUCUGAACAGAUGUUUAACUUAAUCAGAUCUACUAUCUUCUCACACUGUUUUCCUCUUCAAAACACUGUUGAACCUAACAUGAGUUUCCAUUAACUAUUGACCAAAAGGCAAAUAUGGGUUCAAAUCACUGAUUGUUAUCGUACUUCUUUACAAAAUUACAUAAAAUUCAAGAAAACGAAACAAUGACUUAAAGAUCUAUAAUUUAACACAUAAUCUAAUCGGGCAAAGAAAUCUAUUAUCUGAAAAUUCCCUGGUUUUUACAACAUGAAACACAACAUCAUCAUGCCAAAUACAGUCAUACAUAUCCAUCCAUUAUUCUAAAUUCAUAAACCCAUAAAUGCAGAAGAAUGUCACAUUUGCGAUUAAUAAACUAAUUUUCUACUAAUUGCAGUUACUAUUAGCAAAAAGAAGCAUGAUUUCAUCUAUAUAUAAAACAUAAAGAGCUAAUAACAGUGUUUAUCAAGUUAGCUAUACAUAGCAACAAAACAUCAAGUUAAUAAUUUAAAAAAAAACAUACAAC
rnacentral:lncRNA from 1 species